rnacentral:pre_miRNA from 1 species
AAUAGCCGCCUUGAGACCAGGAGGGCAAGGUUCGAAACCUGCUCAGGGCGGCAUUCUUUU